GACGAACGCUGGCGGCGUGCCUAAUACAUGCAAGUAGAACGCAGUUGCGAACGGGUGAGUAACGCGUAGGUAACUGCCUGGUAGCGGGGGAUAACUAUUGGAAACGAUAGCUAAUACCGCAUACUACCAGAUGGACCUGCGUUGUAUUAGCCAGUUGGUGGGGAAACGGCUCACCAAGGCAACGAGACAUAGCCGACCUGGUAGGGGGAUCGGCCACCAUGAGACGAAGACACGGCCCAGACACCUACGGGAGGCAUCCGUAGGGAUUAUUCGGCAAUGGGGGGAACCCUGACCGAGCAACGCCGCGUGAGUGAAGAAGGUUUUCGGAUCGUAAAGCUCUGUUGUUAAGGAAGCGGUACUUAACCAGAAAGGGACGGCUAACUACGUGCCAGCCGCCGCGGUAAUAC
rnacentral:rRNA from 1 species